rnacentral:rRNA from 1 species
ACGGCGAGUGAAGCGGCAACAGCUCAAAUUUGAAAUCUGGCGCAAGCCCGAGUUGUAAUUUGUAGAGGAUGCUUCUGGGCAGCGGCCGGUCUAAGUUCCUUGGAACAGGACGUCAUAGAGGGUGAGAAUCCCGUAUGCGACCGGCUUGCACCCGUCACGUAGCUCCUUCGACGAGUCGAGUUGUUUGGGAAUGCAGCUCUAAAUGGGAGGUAAAUUUCUUCUAAGGCUAAAUACCGGCCAGAGACCGAUAGCGCACAAGUAGAGUGAUCGAAAGAUGAAAAGCACUUUGGAAAGAGAGUUAAAAAGCACGUGAAAUUGUUGAAAGGGAAGCUCACGCAACCAGACUUGUCGGCGGUGUUCCGCCGGUCUUCUGACCGGUCUAUUCGCCGCCGGCAGGCCAGCAUCACUUGGGAGCGCCGGAUAAAGGCGUGCGGAAUGUAGCCCCUCGGGGCAUUAUAGCCGCGCGCACAAUACGGCGCCUCCCGAGUGAGGUCCGCGCUUCGGCUAGGAUGCUGGCGUAA